GGGCGUUUGGCACAGUGGUAGCGCGCACGCUUCGCAUGCGUGAGGUCGAGGGUUCAAGUCCCUCAUCGUCCA
rnacentral:tRNA from 1 species